UCCGUGUCCGCUGCCCCUCGUUCCCCUGGAACCGACCCAGGAGACGCGAAGACGGUGGCUGCUGGUGGCUCUGCGGCCGCGGGCCUGUCGAGGGGCGCGGACAGCGCCGCUUCGGCGCUGGGGCCCGGUGGGGGUCGGUCCAGGCCCGGCAGGGCCCCAGGCAGAGGGGCGGGGGAGGGGAGCGACACCGGGGGCGACUCGGGGCCCGGGGACUGCUGCUGCAGUUGCUGGAGGCGGAUCGCCUGCUGGAUGUCCGAGAGCAAGUCCUCCUGCUCCGCGGCCGAGUGAAAACUGUAGAGCCUAUACUACCCCUAUAACACCAUGAAGACACAAAGAGCAAACUGCCUAAGAAUUCCCAACAGGAAAUAUAUUUAAGGAGUGUGUCCAGAUAUUUCAAUUUGCAAAAUGUACUUAUAUCUAAUUUAAUUGCAUUUUGAUUGAAGAACAUACUUUUUGUAUUCCUAUCCUUUUUAUGAGUUUCAUGGCUCAGCAUAUAGUCUGUCUUGGAGAAUGUUCCAUGUGUACUUGAAUUCAUUUCCUUUAAUAUCCUAGAUUCUAUUUUGGAAGCUCCCACCUGGACUGCAAAUGAUCUAUUGCAGCUAGGUAAGUAACCAUUUACCUGGGCUUCCUUAGUAGCUCAUCUGGUAACGAAUCCACCUGCAAUGCAGGAAACCCCAGUUUGAUUCCUGGGUCAGGAAGNNNNNNNNNNNNNNNNNNNNNNNNNNNNNNNNNNNNNNNNNNNNNNNNNNNNAGAAUUCCAUGGACAGUAUAGUCCAUGGGGUUGCAAAGAGUUGGACAUGACUGAGUGACGUCAAGAAUAAGAACCACUUACCUCUGUUGCUAUCUGUGUUCUCAUGAAACCCAGCCUAACUGGCUCUCUGGCACAAACCGUGCAUGUCUAGUAAACAUUGCAUUUUCUUCCUGGGCCAAAAAAUAAACAGGAUUGCCCUUUGGGUAAUCUCAUCAUGGGAAUCUAGAGUGACAUUUUUAAAAUAACUUUCCAAAAACUGUUCAUCCUGUGAACCAAGAGAGGUCAAAAUUUGCCUUUACAUGUAUUAUAUUUAUUCCAUAAUUGAAAAUUUUCACUGUUAAGUAUGUCUGACAAGUGGUGCCAAUUAAUGCUUGACUACAUUCUUUAUCUUGUGGAAAGUUCAAAGUUCUAGAAUCUAAUGAAAGAUCCA
rnacentral:lncRNA from 1 species